rnacentral:rRNA from 1 species
AUGGCGGAGUUUGCCCUUGGGCUAACCAAGACGGCGGUGGAGGGGGCAGUCAGCAGAGUCAAGUCGGCAAUCGAGGAGGAGGCGAAGCUCAAGGUGCGCGUCCAGAAUGACCUGGUGUUCAUCACCGGUGAAUUCCAGAUGAUGCGGUCCUUCCUUAACGCCGCCAACUCGGAGCGCAACAAGAAUGAAGUCGUGAGGACAUGGGUGAGGCAGGUCCGCGACCUUGCCUUCGACGUGGAGGACUGUGUUGAGCUCGUGGUCAGCCUCGAUAACAAGUCCACCUGGUGGUGGCGCCUUGUGCCGUCCUGCAUCUGGACGGCUCCGCCGUUGCCAUUGGAUGUGGCAGUCACCGAAAUACAACAACUCAAGACCAGGGUGGAGGAUGUAAGCCAGAGGAACACCCGCUACAACCUCAUCAACCACUCCGACUCCAGCUCCAAUUCUGCAGCUACUAUUGUCUCCUCUCCAACGGAGGCGCUUAUGCCAGACAGUGCCUACCUCGGUGUAUCAUCAGCGUUCCACAUCCUAUGUGAUGUGUGGGAGGCCGCUGGGAAGAAGCGAGGUGGCACCGGUGAGCUCAAGGAGAUUAUCAACCGUGAAGGUAGCGAUCUUCAAGUCAUUUCACUAUGGGGAAGUACACCAUCUGCUCACUUGGGGGCAACUCACGUUAUCAAGGAGGCGUACAAUGACCCACAAAUCCAGCAAGAGUUCAAUGUCCGUGCGUGGGUAAAGAUCAAGUGUCCUUUUGACCCCGAAGAUUUCCUCAAGAGCCUGCUCACUCAGUUCUACGCCACCUCCUCCCACCAACCAAACCACAACAUCAACAAGUCAACAACACCACAAGAGCUCGAAUGGUGUGCAGAGAUGGUGGCACAAGCACGGAGCGACAAUCGGAGCUGGAUCGCACGGGCUACCAACCUAGUCCGCUCUAUGGCAUCCUCCACUUCUGACAUCAAAGCCAAGUUUACAGAUCGUAGGUAUCUCGUCAUCCUGGAAGAUGUACGCACUGUAGCAGAGUGGGAUGUCAUCAAGAUGUAUCUACCGUACACUAACAAGGGCAGCCGGAUUCUCGUGUUGACGGAACACCUGGGGCUUGCGCUUGGGCUUGCGCUUUCCUGCACAGGGAAGCCGUACCAAGUAUCAGAGCUUAGACAAUUCUCUCAUGGUCAAUCACUUUGUGCUUUUUUCAAUAAGGUUCCUGGGCGUCGUGGUGAUAUGAGUGAAAUUAGUUGGCAGUUAAGAUGUGGUGGUGUUAUCUGUGUGUGGGGAACUCGACAUAAAAAAUCAACUCUUGUUGAUGACGUGUACUCCAGCAUAACAAAUAAGUCGAAAGGCUUUGAUGUUGAUGGAGUAGAAUUUAAAAUACAAAGCUGGGUCGAUGUACCCAAACCGUUCAAUUUGGAGUGCUUCUCCAGACGCCUUCUUUUGAGUUUCUACUCUGAUGACUUUGGAGCCAAGGAAAUUUCGGUAGUGGAUAGGAUGGGAGACCAAGGUGUAACUCAACAGUGUCGCAGGUUUCUGCAUGAAGACAAAUGUCUUACCAUUAUUAAUGGUCUGGAGUCGGCGGGUGACUGGGACCAAAUAAAAUCUAUAGUUUUACCCCAGAAUAUUAGAGGAUGUAUCCUUGUCGCUGCAAAAGAUGAGUCUAUUGCCAGAUAUUGUGCUGACAAGCAAGAUCGUGCAAUCAACAUUAAAGAUUUGGAAGCCGACAUGAUUCUUUGUCACUCGGUAAAGAGUUGUCAACACUAUGCAAUUGGAGGCAAAGAGGCUUCUUACAGGGGUCAACUUUUCUCCAACAGAACAGAAGAGGCUGGCAUAUGGAUGAAUAAAUUUGGCCAUGUUGUGCGUUCGGAUUGUCUGGUUUGGGACGUUAAAUCAGCUUUGGAAUGCCCUGGAUUGAUCUCUUUAUGGGGGGCUGCUGGUGCUGGGAAAAUUCCUCUCGUUAGAUGUAUUUACUACAUCCAAAUGCUGACUAUGAACCAUGGACCUGGUUACAUAAUCGGUGGUGAAAAUCGUGGAAGAAUUUUCCUGAAAUAUACAAAGUUCAGCUGGGUCAAUGUGUCAUAUCCCUUUCAUUUGAAGGAAUUCUCUUGGAGAUUACUUUUGGAUUUUCAUUCUGAUGAUCUUGACGCCAAGGAAAAGGCCGCAUUUGGUAUGAUGAAAGGGGAUGACCCAACUCAAGGGUGUCGUGAAUUCAUGAAUCGACAUAGAUGCUUAGUUAUUAUUAAUGGUUUGUGCUCCACACAUGACUGGAACUUGAUAAGAGACACUCUGUUGCCAUUAGAGAAUAAUAAAAGUGCCAUCGUUAUUAUUACAAAUGAAGAAAGUGUCGCCACACAUUGUGCAUAUCACAGAGCUCAAGUGUUCAACAUUAAAGGUGCAGAAGCUGUAGAUGCACUCCGUCCAUUGAGAAAGGGUUGUGGAUACUCUGGAAAUGAACGCGAUGCAUCUUGCUUUUUUUCCAGUCGGAGGAAAGAGGCAGCUCACUGGAACAGCACAUUUGAACUUGUUGGCCGUCAAGAUAAAGCGGCUGGUGAGCUUAUGGAUCAUUUAUCGACUCAUGUUGGUUUGAUAUCUGUAUGGGGAAUUGCCGGUGUUGGGAAAUCAGUUAUUGUGAGAAGCGUCUACUAUAAAAUAUUGCUGGGUAUAGAACAAAUUGGUUUGGGUGGCGUGGGGCGUAGGGUUGAUAGUGAAAGCUUUACAUCUUUCAGCUGGGUUGACGUGCCAAAUCCAUUCAAUUUGACGGAAUUCUGUUGGCACUUACUUUUGGAUUUUCAUUCUGAUGACCUUGAAGCGAAGGAAACUGUGACAGUUGGCUUGAUUGAUGGCACUCUAGAUCCAAUUAUGCAAUGUCGCAAGUUUCUACGUAAGAAGUGCUUCGUUAUUAUUGAUGGUCUACUCUCUACACAUGUGUGGGACUUGAUAAGAGAUGCCCUGUUGCCUGCGACCAUUGAAGGCAUCAUUAUUGUCAUUGCGCAUGAAGAAAACAUCGCCACACAUUGUGUAGAACAUGCAUACCGGGUGGUUAACGCCAAGGGUCUAGAGGCUGGAGCAGCACUUUAUCUCUUUAGAAAGGUAGCUUUUGGCGGAAAGUCGUUGACUCCAAAGGAGACUAAAAUUUCAAAACUUACCAUGGCCAAGUGUGGAAGACUCCCCAAAUUAAUAGUUGCUAUAGGUGAACGAUGCCGCGCAUCCAAGGGGCACAAACGUAUACCUUUGUUGAAGAACUUAAACAAUCACUUCAUGGACAGACUGGAGACGGACUCAAGAUACCUAAGUUUAAGGGGUCUAUUUAGUUGGAUGCAGGCUUACUUUGAUGCUCUCUCAGAUGCACUCAAACCAUGUGUCUUCUAUCUCUCAGUCUUCUCUGCAGACUACAAUAUUAGGCGAAAAAGAUUGCUGAGGCGGUGGAUCGCUGAGGGCUACUCUAGGGAAAAUAUUGGAAUUAGCACGAAGGAGGACGGGGAAAUAUUGUUCUCCGAGCUGGUCAAUCUGAGCAUAAUCCAAGAACCACCAAGCAAGCCACCCAGGUGCUCGAGACGAAGCGUUUAUGCAUCAAAGGGCAAGGUUGAUGGCUUGUGCCAAGUCAACGGUUUCUUUCAUGGAUACAUCAUCUCACGACCAAUGGAAGAUAACCUUGUGUUUGAACUGGAGGGUUAUUCUAGUGCCAAUUUCAAACAAGUAGGACAACACCUCGCCAUAAGGAGCAGUUGGGACAGAGAUGAGAUUGUAUUUAAGAGCAUGGACUUGUCACGACUAAGGUCAUUGACAGUGUUUGGGGAGUGGAGAUCCUUUUUCAUUUCCAUAGAUAUAAACAUGAGGCUGCUUAGGGUGCUGGAUCUAGAAGACACAUUAGAUGUAAUAGAUGGUGACCUCGAGAAAAUAGGGAAGCUACUACCUCGUCUAAAGUUUCUGUCACUACGAGGAUGCAAAGAGAUUACCCGUCUCCCAGAUUCAUUGGGUAGAUUGAGGCAGUUACAGACUCUAGAUGUCAGAAACACCUGUAUUGUUAAGUUGCCACCGGCUAUCAUCAAGCUUCAUAAGCUACAAUACAUUCGUGCUGGCAGACUAGACGUCGCUCAUGAACCAAUGGAUAACCCAGGCGUACCAGCAGAAGAAGAGGACGAUUCUAUAUCAACAUCAUCAGAUGAGUAUUAUAUGUCAUCAUCAGAAGACAGCUUGACAUCAACAGAAGAUGACAAUGACACGGUCACAUCUUUAGCAACACCAAUAGCAGAUGUCACGAGCACAUGCCAACCGGAAGCAGCAACACCAGCAGUAGAUGAUGAUGACAUGAGUGGAAGCCAACAAGAAGCAGCAGCAGUAGAUGGCCAUGGCACGAGCAUAAACCAGCUUGAAGCAGCAGAUGUGGACCAGACAUCAACUACAAUAGCGCCAUGGAGGAGCAGGGCACACAACUUGAUGUUAUCCUAUUCUUGCAACUGGUUGUCUAAGAUGAAGAAGGAACAUCGUGGACGCCAAGGACUUGAUAAUAAUAAUGGCAUUGGUGUAAAGGUUCCUGCUGCAGGUAUUGGGAUUCUAACGGCCUUGCAUUCUCUUGGCGUUGUGAAUGUUAGUGGAACGAUUGGGAAGAAUAUCCUCAUGGAGAUGAAGAAGCUGUCCCAGUUGCGCAAGCUCGGGGUGUCCGGCAUCAAUCGAAAAAACUGGCAGGAUUUGUGUUCAACAAUAUCGUGCCUAGGCCAUCUCGAAUCCUUGUCGGUGCGACUCGAUCAUGUGCACAAGGGGAAACAGGAUUUGUGUUGUCUGAGUGACAUCUCCAAGCCCCCAAAGACACUGAAGAGCCUCAAGCUGUAUGGAGGAAAUGUACAUGUGUCGCCAGUUUGGAUGAAACAGCUUGGCAAUAUCACAAAGGCUCGUGUCGAUGAUCUUGAGUUGACAAUAUCAACGCAAGAGGAUAUAGACAACCUAAUGGAAGUUUCAUGUGCAGGUGCGUUUCGUCACCUUUGUAUCAUGCCGAUUCAAGAUGGUGAGCUUUGUUAUGGUCUAGAGGACAACCGAGGCUGGAGUGGGGAUUUGUACGAAGCCGCCAAAGUCCUCAAGAUAAACUGCGGCAGAUACAAGUUGGUGCUAGUUUUUGGAAUUUGGACAGCGGAAUACGCAGAGGUUCUGGUAUUUCAGUGCUCUAGUAGUGAGGCGUCUUUGGAGGUCUCUAGGCUAGAGAAGUUAUGGAAUCUCAAAGAAGUGUGGCUCAAGGGUUCCUACAGCGAAGCAGUCAAGCAACACUUGCAGCAGAAAGUUGACGACCUACCAGAGGGGAGGAGAAGAGUUGUCCUGAAGCUAGAGGAGACCCAACAGUCAGCUCCACCUACCCCUUCUGCGUGUCUGAGAUGCCUACGUGCAUGA